rnacentral:rRNA from 1 species
GUUUGAUCCUGGCUCAGGAUGAACGCUGGCGGCGUGCUUAACACAUGCAAGUCGAACGCACCUUCGGGUGAGUGGCGGACGGGUGAGUAACGCGUGAGAAUCUGCCCUCAGGAGGGGGAUAACGGCUGGAAACGGCCGCUAAUACCCCAUAUGCCGAGAGGUGAAACGAGUUUUCGCCUGAGGAUGAGCUCGCGUCUGAUUAGCUAGUUGGUGGGGUAAGAGCCUACCAAGGCAUCGAUCAGUAGCUGGUCUGAGAGGAUGAUCAGCCACACUGGGACUGAGACACGGCCCAGACUCCUACGGGAGGCAGCAGUGGGGAAUUUUCCGCAAUGGGCGAAAGCCUGACGGAGCAACGCCGCGUGAGGGAUGAAGGCCUCUGGGCUGUAAACCUCUUUUCUCAAGGAAGAAGAUCUGACGGUACUUGAGGGAUAAGCCACGGCUAAUUCCGUGCCAGCAGCCGCGGUAAUACGGGAGUGGCAAGCGUUAUCCGGAAUUAUUGGGCGUAAAGCGUCCGCAGGCGGUCUUGAAAGUCUGUUGUUAAAGCGUGGAGCUUAACUCCAUUUCAGCAAUGGAAACUAGAAGACUAGAGUGUGGUAGGGGCAGAGGGAAUUCCCGGUGUAGCGGUGAAAUGCGUAGAUAUCGGGAAGAACACCAGUGGCGAAGGCGCUCUGCUGGGCCAUAACUGACGCUCAUGGACGAAAGCCAGGGGAGCGAAAGGGAUUAGAUACCCCCGUAGUCCUGGCCGUAAACGAUGAACACUAGGUGUCGGGGGAAUCGACCCCCUCGGUGUCGUAGCCAACGCGUUAAGUGUUCCGCCUGGGGAGUACGCACGCAAGUGUGAAACUCAAAGGAAUUGACGGGGGCCCGCACAAGCGGUGGAGUAUGUGGUUUAAUUCGAUGCAACGCGAAGAACCUUACCAGGGUUUGACAUCCUGCGAACCCCUUGGAAACGAGGGGGUGCCUUCGGGAGCGCAGAGACAGGUGGUGCAUGGCUGUCGUCAGCUCGUGUCGUGAGAUGUUGGGUUAAGUCCCGCAACGAGCGCAACCCACGUCUUUAGUUGCCAGCAUUGAGUUGGGCACUCUAGAGGGACCGCCGGUGAUAAACCGGAGGAAGGUGUGGAUGACGUCAAGUCAUCAUGCCCCUUACAUCCUGGGCUACACACGUACUACAAUGCUACGGACAAAGGGCAGCAAACUCGCGAGAGCUAGCAAAUCCCAUAAACCGGGGCUCAGUUCAGAUCGUAGGCUGCAACUCGCCUACGUGAAGGAGGAAUCGCUAGUAAUCGCAGGUCAGCAUACUGCGGUGAAUACGUUCCCGGGCCUUGUACACACCGCCCGUCACACCAUGGAAGUUGGCCACGCCCGAAGUCGUUACUCCAACCCUUGUGGAGGAGGACGCCGAAGGUGGGGCUGAUGACUGGGGUGAAGUCGUAACAAGGUA